rnacentral:rRNA from 1 species
AGCGAACGCUGGCGGCAGGCCUAACACAUGCAAGUCGAACGAAGCCUUCGGGCUUAGUGGCGCACGGGUGAGUAACGCGUAGGAAUCUACCCAUUAGCCUGGGAUAACAGCGGGAAACUGCUGCUAAUACCGGAUACGCCCCUUCGGGGGGAAAGGUUUACUACUAAUGGAUGAGCCUGCGUUAGAUUAGCUAGUUGGUGAGGUAAUGGCUCACCAAGGCUCCGAUCUAUAGCCGGUCUGAGAGGACGAUCGGCCACACUGGGACUGAGACACGGCCCAGACUCCUACGGGAGGCAGCAGUGGGGAAUAUUGGGCAAUGGGCGCAAGCCUGACCCAGCCAUGCCGCGUGAGUGAUGAAGGCCUUAGGGUUGUAAAGCUCUUUUAGUAGUGAAGAUGAUGACAGUAGCUACAGAAAAAGCCCCGGCUAACUUCGUGCCAGCCGCCGCCGUAAAAC